UUGGAUAACCGUGGUAAUUCUAGAGCUAAUACAUGCUAAAAAUCCCGACUUCGGAAGGGAUGUAUUUAUUAGAUUAAAAACCAAUGCCCUUCGGGGCUCACUGGUGAUUCAUAAUAACUUCUCGAAUCGCAUGGCCUUGCGCCGGCGAUGGUUCAUUCAAAUUUCUUCCCUAUCAACUUUCGAUGCUAGAGUAGUGUUCUAGCAUGGUUACAACGGGUAACGGAGGGUUAGGGCUCGACCCCGGAGAGGGAGCCUGAGAAACGGCUACCACAUCCAAGGAAGGCAGCAGGCGCGCAAAUUACCCAAUCCCGACUCGGGGAGGUAGUGACGAUAAAUACUGAUACAGGGCUCUUUUGGGUCUUGUAAUUGGAAUGAGUACAAUUUAAAUCCCUUAACGAGGAACAAUUGGAGGGCAAGUCUGGUGCCAGCAGCCGCGGUAAUUCCAGCUCCAAUAGCGUAUAUUAAAGUUGUUGUGGUUAAAAAGCUCGUAGUAGAACCUUGGGCCUGGCUGGCCGGUCCGCCUCACCGCGUGUACUGGUCCGGCCGGGCCUUUCCCUCUGUGGAACCGCAUGUCCUUCACUGGAUGUGCUGGGGAAACAGGACUUUUACUUUGAAAAAAUUAGAGUGCUCCAGGCAGGCCUAUGCUCGAAUACAUUAGCAUGGAAUAAUAAAAUAGGACGUGUGGUUCUAUUUUGUUGGUUUCUAGGACCGCCGUAAUGAUUAAUAGGGACAGUCGGGGGCAUCAGUAUUCAAUUGUCAGAGGUGAAAUUCUUGGAUUUAUUGAAGACUAACUACUGCGAAAGCAUUUGCCAAGGAUGUUUUCAUUUAUCAGGAACGAAAGUUAGGGGAU
rnacentral:rRNA from 1 species